rnacentral:tRNA from 1 species
GUAAGGUCAGCUAAUUAAGCUUU